rnacentral:rRNA from 2 species
UUAAGCGACUAAGCGUACACGGUGGAUGCCCUGGCAGUCAGAGGCGAUGAAGGGCGUGCUAAUCUGCGAUAAGCGCCGGUAAGGUGAUAUGAACCGUUAUAACCGGCGAUACCCGAAUGGGGAAACCCAGUGUGAUUCGUCACACUAUCAUUAACUGAAUCCAUAGGUUAAUGAGGCGAACCGGGGGAACUGAAACAUCUAAGUACCCCGAGGAAAAGAAAUCAACCGAGAUUCCCCCAGUAGCGGCGAGCGAACGGGGAGGAGCCCAGAGCCUGAAUCAGCAUGUGUGUUAGUGGAAGCGUCUGGAAAGGCGCGCGAUACAGGGUGACAGCCCCGUACACAAAAGCGCAUGUGCUGUGAGCUCGAUGAGUAGGGCGGGACACGUGGUAUCCUGUCUGAAUAUGGGGGGACCAUCCUCCAAGGCUAAAUACUCCUGACUGACCGAUAGUGAACCAGUACCGUGAGGGAAAGGCGAAAAGAACCCCGGCGAGGGGAGUGAAAAAGAACCUGAAACCGUGUACGUACAAGCAGUGGGAGCCCCACCACUAAGCCAGUGGUGAACUCCACAUCCGCAUCCUUUGCUGAGGAUACGGUUAACGGAGCGAAAGCGACGUUCAACCGCAAAACAAGCAGAGGGGGCUUAGUGGUGGGGUGACUGCGUACCUUUUGUAUAAUGGGUCAGCGACUUAUAUUCUGUAGCAAGGUUAACCGAAUAGGGGAGCCGGAGGGAAACCGAGUCUUAAUUGGGCGUUAAGUUGCAGGGUAUAGACCCGAAACCCGGUGAUCUAGCCAUGGGCAGGUUGAAGGUUGGGUAACACUAACUGGAGGACCGAACCGACUAAUGUUGAAAAAUUAGCGGAUGACCUGUGGCUGGGGGUGAAAGGCCAAUCAAACCGGGAGAUAGCUGGUUCUCCCCGAAAGCUAUUUAGGUAGCGCCUCGUGAAUUCAUCUCCGGGGGUAGAGCACUGUUUCGGCUAGGGGGCCAUCCCGGCUUACCAACCCGAUGCAAACUGCGAAUACCGGAGAAUGUUAUCACGGGAGACACACGGCGGGUGCUAACGUCCGUCGUGAAGAGGGAAACAACCCAGACCGCCAGCUAAGGUCCCAAAGUCAUGGUUAAGUGGGAAACGAUGUGGGAAGGCCCAGACAGCCAGGAUGUUGGCUUAGAAGCAGCCAUCAUUUAAAGAAAGCGUAAUAGCUCACUGGUCGAGUCGGCCUGCGCGGAAGAUGUAACGGGGCUAAACCAUGCACCGAAGCUGCGGCAGCGAACGUAUCACCCAAGACAACUUUACGGAGUUGACGAUUGACGGAGCGAAGCGACGUCAAAGCGUUCAUUAAAGUCGAGUUGGCUUAGGGAUACGUUCGUUGGGUAGGGGAGCGUUCUGUAAGCCUGUGAAGGUGUGUCGUGAGGCAUGCUGGAGGUAUCAGAAGUGCGAAUGCUGACAUAAGUAACGAUAAAGCGGGUGAAAAGCCCGCUCGCCGGAAGACCAAGGGUUCCUGUCCAACGUUAAUCGGGGCAGGGUGAGUCGACCCCUAAGGCGAGGCCGAAAGGCGUAGUCGAUGGGAAACGGGUUAAUAUUCCCGUACUUGGUGUUACUGCGAAGGGGGGACGGAGAAGGCUAUGUUGGCCGGGCGACGGUUGUCCCGGUUUAAGCGUGUAGGUGUGUGUUCCAGGUAAAUCCGGUUCACUUUAACACUGAGGCGUGACGACGAGGCACUACGGUGCUGAAGCAACAAAUGCCCUGCUUCCAGGAAAAGCCUCUAAGCAUCAGGUAACACGAAAUCGUACCCCAAACCGACACAGGUGGUCAGGUAGAGAAUACCAAGGCGCUUGAGAGAACUCGGGUGAAGGAACUAGGCAAAAUGGUGCCGUAACUUCGGGAGAAGGCACGCUGACACGUAGGUGAAGUGAUUUACUCAUGGAGCUGAAGUCAGUCGAAGAUACCAGCUGGCUGCAACUGUUUAUUAAAAACACAGCACUGUGCAAACACGAAAGUGGACGUAUACGGUGUGACGCCUGCCCGGUGCCGGAAGGUUAAUUGAUGGGGUCAGCGCAAGCGAAGCUCCUGAUCGAAGCCCCGGUAAACGGCGGCCGUAACUAUAACGGUCCUAAGGUAGCGAAAUUCCUUGUCGGGUAAGUUCCGACCUGCACGAAUGGCGUAAUGAUGGCCAGGCUGUCUCCACCCGAGACUCAGUGAAAUUGAACUCGCUGUGAAGAUGCAGUGUACCCGCGGCAAGACGGAAAGACCCCGUGAACCUUUACUAUAGCUUGACACUGAACAUUGAGCCUUGAUGUGUAGGAUAGGUGGGAGGCUUUGAAGUGUGGACGCCAGUCUGCAUGGAGCCGACCUUGAAAUACCACCCUUUAAUGUUUGAUGUUCUAACGUGGACCCGUAAUCCGGGUUGCGGACAGUGUCUGGUGGGUAGUUUGACUGGGGCGGUCUCCUCCUAAAGAGUAACGGAGGAGCACGAAGGUUGGCUAAUCCUGGUCGGACAUCAGGAGGUUAGUGCAAUGGCAUAAGCCAGCUUGACUGCGAGCGUGACGGCGCGAGCAGGUGCGAAAGCAGGUCAUAGUGAUCCGGUGGUUCUGAAUGGAAGGGCCAUCGCUCAACGGAUAAAAGGUACUCCGGGGAUAACAGGCUGAUACCGCCCAAGAGUUCAUAUCGACGGCGGUGUUUGGCACCUCGAUGUCGGCUCAUCACAUCCUGGGGCUGAAGUAGGUCCCAAGGGUAUGGCUGUUCGCCAUUUAAAGUGGUACGCGAGCUGGGUUUAGAACGUCGUGAGACAGUUCGGUCCCUAUCUGCCGUGGGCGCUGGAGAACUGAGGGGGGCUGCUCCUAGUACGAGAGGACCGGAGUGGACGCAUCACUGGUGUUCGGGUUGUCAUGCCAAUGGCACUGCCCGGUAGCUAAAUGCGGAAGAGAUAAGUGCUGAAAGCAUCUAAGCACGAAACUUGCCCCGAGAUGAGUUCUCCCUGAGACUUUAGGUCUCCUGAAGGAACGUUGAAGACGACGACGUUGAUAGGCCGGGUGUGUAAGCGCAGCGAUGCGUUGAGCUAACCGGUACUAAUGAACCGUGAGGCUUAACCU